GGGGAAUUAGCUCAGUUGGUAGAGCGCCCGCUUUGCAUGCGGGAAGUCACGGAUUCGAUUUCCGUAUUCUCCA
rnacentral:tRNA from 1 species